rnacentral:rRNA from 1 species
CCUGGUGACCAUAGCGGAGGGGUCCCACCCGUUCCCAUUCCGAACACGGAAGUUAAGCCCUCCAGCGCCGAUGGUACUGUCCAGUCAGGGCGGGAGAGUAGGUCGUCGCCAGGC